GCUCUUGGGGCGGGGCCUGGAGCAGGGUGACCGCAGGCCUGGAGGAGCGCGAGGACAGCUAUUGCGCCCGCGGCCUCCCGUAGCGCCGGCUGGGUUUUGCGGGUCGCACCCAGGCUCACCCGGCCAGGGAAAAGGGUUGCAUGAGCGGUGGUCCAAAGGGUUGGGGUUGGGGUGCCGGGAGGGCCUCGGGUCGUGGGCGGGGGGCUGCGGGGAGGGGAAGGAGGGCCGCGGCGCGGGGGAGCGCAGGGACAUGGCACAGCUGGACGAUGAGGAGGGGGCAGCGGUGGCACCCGGGCACCCGCCCGCGAAUGGAUACCUCCUGGUCCCGGGGGGCGAGCCCCUCGGAAAGCUAAGCGCGGAGCCGCAGAACGGACUCAAAGCCGGCUGCCUGACCCUGAAUGGAGUGUCUCGGGACAGCCUCGCGGCCGCCGCUCAGUCCCUCGGCGGGCCCCAGACUCCGCUGGCUCCAGAGGAGGAGACCCAGACACGGCUGUUGCCCACGGGCCCCGGGGAGGAGACCCCCGGGGCCGAGGGUUCCCGGGUGCCCCAGACGGCGCUCUCUGCGCGGCGCUUUGUGGUGCUGCUGAUCUUCAGCCUGUACUCGCUGGUGAACGCCUUUCAGUGGAUCCAGUACAGCAUCAUCAGCAAUGUCUUUGAGGGCUUCUAUGGCGUCUCCUCCCUGCACAUCGACUGGCUGUCCAUGGUGUACAUGCUGGCCUACGUGCCCCUCAUCUUUCCGGCCACGUGGCUGCUGGACACCAGAGGCCUGCGGCUCACCGCCCUGCUGGGCUCCGGCCUCAACUGCCUGGGCGCCUGGAUCAAGUGCGCCAGUGUCCAGCAGCAUCUCUUCUGGGUCACCAUGCUGGGCCAGUGUCUCUGCUCCGUGGCCCAGGUGUUCAUCCUCGGCUUGCCCUCCCGCAUCGCCUCGGUGUGGUUUGGCCCCAAGGAGGUAUCCACAGCUUGUGCCACUGGCGUGCUGGGCAAUCAGCUUGGAACUGCUGUUGGCUUUUUGCUACCACCAGUUUUAGUGCCCAACACACAGAAUGACACAGAUCUGCUGGCUUGUAAUAUCAGUACCAUGUUUUAUGGGACGUCAUCCAUCGCCACGUUUUUAUGUCUUUUAACAGUAAUUGCAUUCAAAGAAAAACCUCAGUAUCCACCAAGCCAGGCGCAAGCAGUUCUUCAAAAAAGCCCCUGUGCUGAGUACUCCUAUAAGAAAUCAAUAAGGAACCUAUUUAAAAACAUUCCUUUUGUCCUUCUGUUGAUCUCUUACGGUAUCAUAACGGGAGCAUUUUACUCAGUCUCAACAUUAUUAAAUCAAAUGAUACUGACAUAUUAUAAGGGAGAAGAAAUCAAUGCUGGAAGAAUUGGGCUAACAUUGGUAGUGGCUGGAAUGGUGGGCUCUAUUCUUUGUGGCUUGUGGCUAGAUCAUACCAAAACAUACAAACAGACUACUCUGAUAGUUUACAUUUUGUCUUUUUUGGGAAUGGUUGUAUUUACUUUCACGUUGGACCUUGGAUACAUUAUCAUCGUGUUUGUUACUGGAGGGAUACUCGGUUUCUUCAUGACUGGUUACCUCCCAUUGGGUUUUGAAUUUGCUGUUGAAAUCACUUACCCUGAAUCUGAAGGUACUUCCUCUGGUCUUCUUAAUGCUUCAGCCCAGAUAUUUGGAAUUUUGUUCACAUUGGCUCAAGGAAAGCUCACAUCAGACUAUGGUCCUAAGGCAGGGAACAUUUUCCUUUGUAUUUGGAUGUUUCUAGGCAUCAUUUUAACAGCAUUAAUCAAGUCUGAUCUCAAAAGACACAAUAUAAACAUAGGAAUUACGAACGGUGAUAUUAAAGCUGUACCAGUUGAAGAGAGUCCCACAGAUCAAGAAUCCAAAACCAUGAUGAUGUCCAAGCAGUCAGAAUCGGCAAUUUGAGGCGAAGGAAAAAGUUAACAUUAUGUGAUAGUUGAGCAGCCCCGGGAAAGCAUCCGUCACGGCGUGUAGAGUAAAAACAUGUCCUCUGGGAACCUAAAGUCUAAGGUUUGUGGUGAGGAUGAAAUUUAAGUAGAAGACACACCGGAGAUCCUUAACCAAGAGAUCCAUUGUCACACCCCCGGUGAGAAACAGUAAAGGCCCUGGGAAACCGAAGCAUUCGUUGGGCUCGCUUUUCUGUGAUAGUCGAGCUGCGGUGGUGGUCUGGAACCGAACCCGCGGCACCUCCGAGGUAAGCCUGGUCCGGGGAGGUUGGUGGAUAGUUUGACUCAGCUUAACCGUCUUGCACAACUUGUGUCAGAUGGGGAAAGUCAGCGUGUUUUGGCCGAAGACUGCUCCUCAGCGGAAUCUGUGAGCCACGCUGGUGGUCCCCCGUUGUGUCCUCCAACCGUGCUUGCUGCCCCAGGCCUGUCCCGGUGCCACCGUGGGAGGCGACCUCCCUUCCACAGGCAGCCGGCGGCUCAGCCGUGUGCUUUCUCCAACCCCAUCCCUGCUGACCCCAAAGCGAGAUGGCUGAGGCUGCUCUGACCGGAGUCGCCCGGGGGUCAUCCACAGCACCCCUGGCCAUGCCUCACAGCCCAGGGCUCCGGGCUUGGAACAUGGCCUAUGCUAACCAAAGGUUCUCCAACUCCAGUGCCCUCCGAGUCACCUGGACCCUUACUGAGACACAAAGUGCUGAGUCCCAAGCCCAGAGGUUCUGAUUCGGCAGGUCUGAGGCGAGGCCCAAGAUUACAAAUUCCUGGUACGUCCCCAGGUGAGGAGACGCUGCUGGUCCCAGGACCACACUAGAAGUGGGAACAGCUUUCCGGCCGCUGCCAGCUGGCCUUGCCUCCCCGGGCGGGCUGAACACACACAUGGCCUCUUCAGGUGGUCUACCUGGGCUCUGCGCCCCUCCCCCAGAGGCUCCCCUUAGCUGCCCCAGAAAUGCUCCCUGGGGCGUGUGUGGAAACAUGACCUGGUUGUUCUUUUCACUGUCCAGAUGGGAGGCUUUUGUGUGUCCUCAGUGAAGAGGAACAAGGUAGGGAUCUGGUUUCUCAGACUCCAGGCCGGUUCGGAGCCCAGCAGGUGCAUCGCGGACGAUGGCGGGGAAGGAGGGCAGGUGGUGCCACUGGCCCAUCUCCAGCCUGCGGGGACCAGAGCCAGAGGCCUCGGCUUCUGUUCGGGAACAAACUUCCUCCCCCAGGGAGCCCGGGGAGGGCCAGGCUGACCCCUGGGGAGUGUCAGCCUUCGCUGCUCCCUGUCAACACUGUGUCUUGCGCCCCUCCCCUUUCCUCCGGACUCGGACAGUGUCAGGAAACAGGGCGGGUUCCAGGUGGGAGCAGGGGCACCGGGGCUAGAAAAACUGGCUUCAAGGAAAGCAGUUUCCUCGCCGGUGAAGACAGCAGACACCCCAUCCCCACAGCCCCUGACUGCCACUAAGCCAGGAAAGCAAGCAGCACCCUUACCUGGUCCGGAGAGAAGGCAGCAAAGGACAGAAGAGGGGGGAGGGGGAGGGGGUGGGGGGUAGCGACUCACCCCUUCCCACAGGGAGAACUCCUGGGUUGAAGCAAGCACCUUUCUUCUGAGAGAGAAACCUGGGGACGCAGACAUGGGGAAUUUGAGCAAAGAGAAGGCAAGUGUGGUUGGGGCGGUGGGGAAGCCGGUGCCUGGUUCACGCUCUGGUACUUUGGCGAGGACAGAGGUGGGCAGAGGUGAGGCAGGCAGGGAGCAGGUGAGGGCAGGCUGCCCGCAGAAUUGGAGCUUGAGCCGAGUCUGACAGGAGCAGCCACCUGUGCCCCUUGAGAGACCUCCUCCACUUCCCUGUCUUUCCCCACAGGGCCAGGCGGGUCUGUCCGUAGCAACAGCCCCGAACGCGCUGAGAGGCCGACCUUCCCCCUUCUCCGCUCCGUCUCCAGCCUCCUCCUGCACAGUCCGGGCCGACUUUCCUUCCUGAAGGACACGUGGCUGGGAGGUUUUGCCCGUUCCUUCACGUCAGCACCCUCCCCGGACAGAUGUGCUCUUUGGAAACGGGAAAGAUUCUCCCGAAAUAGAGGAGUUUGCAGGAAGUCUGUCCCGCAGAGCAGACCAGAUCCCAUGAGCACUCCGGUCCGAGGCUCACACGUAGCUUCCCGACAGUAACUAGGGAUGCCUUUGAUUAAAAAACCAAACCAAACAAAAAAACCCCACAGAUGGUUCAAGCCGGUUCCCAGAAACUGACUCCUCGAACUGGGGAUGGGGCUUUGGAAGUUUUCACGAGCAUCUGACGAGCCCCCAAAGCAACUGGGCUGUGGCCACCUUUGCCUAGGAAGGCUCUUACCGCCUGUUGGGGGGCUACCGGGGCUGUUGGUACGUGGGGAGGUUCCUCCUGAAACAGUGCUUUGGGGGCUCAGAAGAUCCAACAACAGGUCUGGGUUAGGAAGGAGCCCCCAGAUGACCAACCGAAGCAUCAUCCAGGGCUGGGGGGAGGGCUCGGUGUGGCCCCUCUGUGGAAGGCUCCAUGGGCAACAUCGCCGACCCAACGGCUAGCAGUGCUGGCCAGGCUCCCCACUAAACAGUUAGGGUCCUACCUUAGGAGGGGAUAAUAACAAGCCUCAUCUGUUGAGAACAGUCCCCAAAGUCGUUCAUGCGCAUGAUCUCAUCUGCCCCCGUGACGGAGGCCACUUUGGUUCCUACAACCACAGCAGCUCUGAAAGAAGGCUGGGCUUCAGCCGAGACCUGCCUCGAGUUUUCCCAUUCACCCCCGCCCCACAGGCCUGUAGUCUAAGUAAAAUGGUGUAUAUGUGCUUGCAGACAAUUUCCCAGCACCCCCACCUCCCUCCUGAGGGCCCCCUAAGUGCCUCCUAUGGAAAAUUCUGGAGCCUCACUAAUUACAACCAUUUUGCGGAAGAAUAAACUCAGACUCAGCCUUGCCAAGAGUUGCAUAGCUAGGAAAGAAUGGAGUCAGGGCCCCGCUCCUCCCCCCCUUGGGAAGAUUGCCCAGGGAAGGCCUCUCUCCUAGCCUCUGCUGCCUCCUCUGGGAAAGGGAGGUCAGAACCUGCAGGUCAGGAGUGGCUGGCGGAGCUUCAGCCCCA